rnacentral:rRNA from 1 species
CCUACGGGGGGCUGCAGUGGGGAAUAUUGGACAAUGGGCGAAAGCCUGAUCCAGCCAUGCCGCGUGUGUGAAGAAGGCCUUCGGGUUGUAAAGCACUUUCAGUGGGGAAGAAAGCCUUGGGGCUAAUACCCUCGAGGAAGGACAUCACCCACAGAAGAAGCACCGGCUAACUCCGUGCCAGCAGCCGCGGUAAUACGGAGGGUGCGAGCGUUAAUCGGAAUUACUGGGCGUAAAGCGCGCGUAGGCGGUCUGAUAAGCCGGUUGUGAAAGCCCCGGGCUCAACCUGGGAACGGCAUCCGGAACUGUCAGGCUAGAGUGCAGGAGAGGAAGGUAGAAUUCCCGGGGUAGCGGUGAAAUGCGUAGAGAUCGGGAGGAAUACCAGUGGCGAAGGCGGCCUUCUGGACUGACACUGACGCUGAGGUGCGAAAGCGUGGGUAGCAAACAGGAUUAGAUACCCCAGUAGUC